rnacentral:rRNA from 1 species
GAUGAACGCUGACAGAAUGCUUAACACAUGCAAGUCUUUGGCGAAGCUGUGCUCGCACAGCCUAGCCAAGGCGGACGGGUGAGUAACGCGUAAGGAACUUGCCCUGCAGUCAGGGAUAACAGACGGAAACGACUGAGAAGACCUGGUAAAGUCAGGCGGACUCAUGUCCAGCCUGAUGAAAAGAGAUGCUGCAGGAGAGCCUUGCGUCCUAUUAGCUUGUUGGUGGGGUAACGGCCCACCAAGGCGAUGAUAGGUAGCCGGCCUGAGAGGGUGGACGGCCACAAGGGGACUGAGAUACGGCCCUUACUCCUACGGGAGGCAGCAGUGGGGAAUAUUGGACAAUGGGGGCAACCCUGAUCCAGCAAUUCUGUGUGCACGAUGAAGGUUUUCGGAUUGUAAAGUGCUUUCAGCAGGGAAGAAAAAAAUGACGGUACCUGCAGAAGAAGCGACGGCUAAAUACGUG